AUUAGGGUGCCUGAAAAAAAGGUUCAUCUUGAUGUGAUGAAACAUGUGCACACCACCCCUAAUG
rnacentral:tRNA from 1 species